CUAGAGGCUUUGUCAGUUGGCUCUCGUACCGCUUGGGCUCAGCUCUGUCGGGUACCGGCACCUGAAGAAGGCCAGCAACUGACUCUGUUGUUUGCUGCGUCCUCCCAGCGGAUACCCUUCCUUAUCCCUCUUCUAAAUUACUUGCGGCUCCAAGUCACCCGGAUUUACAAAUUUUAAGAGCUUCAAACACCUGCUAUUGCUUAACAAUGGAAGACGCCCAGCUGUACGUGUCUGCCAACGCCAUGCAGAAGCGCGACGCCCUCCUGGUGUUGAGCGAGUACCUGCCACAGAUGGCCUGGAGCGAAGAAGGAGAAAAUGUGCUGGACAUUGGCUGUGGCUCAGGAGACGUGACGCGAAACCUGUUGAUGCCUCUCCUGCCUCGCGUCGAGCAGGUGGUCGGCGUAGACGUUUCUAGAGACAUGGUGAGCUUCGCCUCCAAGACCUUCGAGCACAACUCUUUGUCUUUCCGCCAGCUAGACAUUGAGCGAGCCGUCCAGCCUCGCCAGGUGUUCCCCGAUGGCUUCAGUAAGGUAUUCUCCAUGUACUGCCUGCACUGGGUGAAGGACCAAGAGCGCUGCCUCACCAACAUAUAUCAGCUGCUGCAGCCCGGAGGCGAGGCGCUGCUGGUGUUCUUGGCCCGUAACCCGCUCUUCACCAUGUACGAAAACAUGAGCAUGAAGGAGCGCUGGCAGUCCUACAUGCAGGACGUGAGCAACUUCGUGCCGGUGUACCAGCACAAGACUGACCCCGCCAAGGCGAUGGCUGACCUGGCCGAGGACGUGGGCUUCGAGGUGGUGUCUUGCGAGGCGCCGGAACUUGAAUUUGUCUUCGAGAAUAUCAACUACUUGAAGAAUGCAAUCAAGGCCGUGAAUCCGUUCCUGAAGCGGGUGCCUCGCGAGGAGCAGGACGCCUUCCUGAUGGACUGCCUCAACGAGCUGGCCCGCCUCAAGACCAAGAGGAACGACGGCAAGAUGGUGGCGCGCUACUCCCUCAUGGUGGCCCACUUGCAGCGCGGGGAGUGAUUGACAGCGGCGGCUGCGGUGGUGAUGAUUGGAAGUGAUUGUGUGCAUCUCUCUCUCUCUCUCUCUCUCUCUCUCUCUCUCUCUCUCUCUCUCUCUCUCUCUCUCUCUCUCUCUCUCUCUCUCUCUCUCUCUCUCUCUCUCUCUCUCUCUCUCUCUCUCUCUCUCUCGCCAUUGACUGAAAUUGUCUUUCUUACAAAUCUCGAUGAUAAUUUUGAAAGUUUGCAUUAAUUGUACUUGUGCUAAUUGAAUGUGAACUAGAGCUCAUUCUUUCUUUCUCUUCCUCUUUCCUUCUCUCCGUUUCUUUAUUGUUUCGUGUCUCAUUCUUUCUCUAAAAAUUGACAAACAAGAAAAUUAGAAAGAAAAACACACAAAAAAACACACAAAAAGAACCAUGCCCCUCCCUCACUCCAACCUCGUAAUGGUGAAGAGAAGAGCAUUUUUCAAUGUUAUAUUUUUUCUUACUGACAAAACUGACAACCAGAAGAAAAUUAGAAGGAAAAACAAAAACUGCACAAAAAAAACAAAACAUGCCCCUCCUUCACUCCAAACUCGUAAUGGUGAAGAGCAGAGCAUUCCUGAACAAAAUCGAUCACCUCUUCAUAACUUCCUGGCCUUCUAGUAAACGUUGUGCAUGAUCCGGCGACAGAAACCAGGCAGGGUGAUGGUUGUGGUGGUGGUGGUGGUGAUGGUGAUAGGGAAUCGAACAGAGACAAAGUUGCACGUGAUUGCUUCCUACUGGUGGUGGUGGUGGUGGUGUGUGUGUGUGUGUGUGUGUGUGUGUGUGUGUGUGUGUGUGUGUGUGUGUGUGUGUGUGUGUGUGUGUGUGUGUGUGUGUGUGUGUGUGUGUGUGUGUGUGUGUGUGUGUGUACUGCUCUCUCUCUCUCUCUCUCUCUCUCUCUCUCUCUCUCUCUCUCUCUCUCUCUCUCUCUCUCUCUCUCUCUACAAUGUUCCUUUAGUCUAGUAUGUUAGUGAUACAUUGAUGCUUUGCUGAAGUCUCCUAUACUUUCUGAAGGGUACAGUCUUCGUCUUCCGCAGCGGCAUUCCUUUGUAUCAACCAGAGCGUAAAGAUAUUCUGAGGAAACUUAAAACUGAAUGUCACUUAUUUAUAGGACAUAAUUGGUAAAGGCAGAUUUUUAAUUCGUUGGUGAAAUUCGAUGUGAUUCAUGCAAACAUUUUCUUUAAAGUCAUUUACCAAAAAAAGAAAAUAGGUGUUUACAUCAGUCUAUACUAAAUGCAUCAUGUACGAGAUCUUUUGAAAUGUUAUGAAAUUGCAUUAAAUAAUUAUGUAGUUU